rnacentral:rRNA from 1 species
AGUGAACGCUGGCGGUAGGCCUAACACAUGCAAGUCGAACGGCAGCACAGGAGAGCUUGCUCUCUGGGUGGCGAGUGGCGGACGGGUGAGGAAUACAUCGGAAUCUACUCUGUCGUGGGGGAUAACGUAGGGAAACUUACGCUAAUACCGCAUACGACCUACGGGUGAAAGCAGGGGACCGUCGGGCCUUGCGCGAUUGAAUGAGCCGAUGUCGGAUUAGCUAGUUGGCGGGGUAAAGGCCCACCAAGGCGACGAUCCGUAGCUGGUCUGAGAGGAUGGUCAGCCACACUGGAACUGAGACACGGUCCAGACUCCUACGGGAGGCAGCAGUGGGGAAUAUUGGACAAUGGGCGCAAGCCUGAUCCAGCCAUACCGCGUGGGUGAAGAAGGCCUUCGGGUUGUAAAGCCCUUUUGUUGGGAAAGAAAUCCAGCUGGCUAAUACCCGGUUGGGAUGACGGUACCCAAAGAAUAAGCACCGGCUAACUUCGUGCCAGCAGCCGCCGUAA